GUUGACCAAAAGUGGAAUGUUUAAUACUCCACAGAAAAAAAAAAAAAGAACCAUGGAAUUCUGAGUCCCACCUGUUAAAUUAUUUGUCCUUCUAAUAGAAGCAGGAAUGAAAGGCGUAUGUUCAACAUCAUUUUGGACCCAUUUUCUGUGGCGGGAAACCAAGGUCCUGCACUAGGCAUUGCAGAUAUGAAGAUGAACUGGAUACAGAGCCCGAUUUCAGGGAGUCACAAGAGUGUGUGCUUAGUGCUGUGAGAGAGAACUUCCCCCUAGACAAAGGACAUCUAGACCAGCCUGGAGGGAGCAGACCCUGUUAAUAUCUCUGAGCUCAUUGCUUUUCUGGAAGAACAUGUUCCGAGUUCCAAUUUGGGAUGAUUCAAAACCUACGUCUGCCCCAGGCUUGAGGUGGGCCUUCAUUGGAAACACCUUCUGCUCCGCCAGCUCAGUUCUCAUGAAAACAAACAAUGGUGCCCUUUGCCCAAGUCGGAAGAGGAGGCUGUGAAAUCGCCAUGAGCUUCCCGUGCAGGCCACAGCUUCAAUCAGGUCCUUCUGCUGGGGCGCCUGGGAUGGGUCACACCCUUUGCCUCCUCUCUCUGGAUGGCAUUUCUAAGUCACACCAGGGGCUCUGGGCAUUGAGGCUUGGGAUACCCAUCUCCUGAGCCCUUCUUCCUGGGAAGAUGCCAGGGGCCAAAGCCAGGUGGACGCCAGCUCAGCCUCUACACUCUCAGUCCCAACUGGGUGUGAUCACUGCAGAGCUCCUCUGGGGUGGAGAGAAAGAAGAAAUAAAAGAGCCCUUCUUUAUAUAAAAUUGGAUUUUAACAUUCUCCAAAGUGGUGGCAGCCCCUGGAUUGCAAAUGAAAAGCACCCAGUUUUCCCAGAGAAUAAUCUGGAAGAGGGAAGUGGAGGUGAAUGGCCUCCUUCUGUAAUGGUAAGAACUUCUCCCCAGCCACCUCCAGAAGACAGAGAGAGGCAUCUGGGGGUCGGGGAUGUGAGUUGGCAAGAAGCUGGGAGACGUGACAGCCAGAGAGAUUGGGAGCGGAGACGUGCACCGCCCGGCGCCCUUCACUCAUGUCCUCCCUGGCCUGGGGCUCGGCAAGGCUCCUGCUGUUCCUUCCAUCUUCUCCAAGUGCUGAGAAUGAGGCGAAAGAGGAAGCAAUAGGGUAAAAAGAUACUGAGGACCUCCAAACUCAGAAGUGUUUGUUGAUUGAUUCAUUCAUCAUUCAGAAAGAGCGAGUACCUACUGCACGUCAAACCCACAGCCAAGGCUGGAGGUGCAGAGAUAAAUGAUUCACAGUUGGUGUCUCCAAGAAGCUCCCAGUCUAAGGACCCAAGAAGAAGCUGCAUCUCGCCAAGAGUCUUGGAAUUCUGGCUACAUUCGUAUUUGGGCUUCCUUACUCAUUGUUGAUUUACUGCAUCAAUCUUUUCCAAUGGAUUGGGAGCAUCAAUAUUUUGUAAGAUGAUAGAAAUUGAUAUAACCUGUGUAACCGAGAGGAUUGAAUUAGGUAGAAUCUCUGCCUCAGGGCGGGGCCUGGAGUGAGCCAAGCAAGAUGCUUAUGAGACAAAAUCUAUGGAGGUGUCAUUUUUAAGGUCAUGCUAGUGCAGGGUCUGCCUAAUAUUGGGUUGACAGACUUUGUGCAAGUCAUUUAAACUCCAUGAACUUCAGCUUCCCAUCUGUAAAUCAGGGACAUGCCUACUCAUGGAGCUGUUGAAAAAUUAAUAAUAUAAUGCUUGCAAAAGUGCGUUAUAAACUAUAAAUGGCAUAUAAACACGUGUUGGUUUUAUCAAUAGUAGUAAUAAUAAUUAUUUAUGAUCUUUUUCAUUAAUUCAUCAAUGACAUUAAAAAUAACCAUAACCAAAACAUUCUUUGUGGCAAAUGCAACACAUUAUACUGGAAAAUGGAAUAGAGAAACGGAAGGAUCUGGUAUGCUUUGUAAGAGGCGGUAGUUAAGUAAUGAAAGAUUUUGAGCUGUGAACUCAGACAGACUUGGAUUUUAAUCCCAGCUCUAUCACUUACAAAUGUUUAACCUAAACUCUGAAGUCUCCAUUUCCUCAUUUGUGAAAGGGGAAUAAUAAUAAUGGACUCAUAGGGUUGUUACUGAGGAUUAAAUGAGAUAAUGUGUGUAAUACUCAGCAUUUUGCAGGCCCGUAGAGAGCACUACAUAGAUGUGAGCUACUAUCGUUGUGUGGGGACCCCAGCACAACCAAUUCCUCCUACAGGCCAGAAUGUCUUCUGAGAUACUAAGCUUUUUCCAGUUUCCUUAGCUGAGGUCAUAUUACACAAUGCUAAGUCGCAAAGAUGCUUUUCCUACAGGCUUGAUUUUAGGAAUAAUUAUACUAAAUGUUGUUCCUUCUUUCCUAAGUUUCUCCAGAAUUAUAGCUGUGGUGUAAGUACCCAAGAGU
rnacentral:lncRNA from 1 species